UACGUAGGUGGCAAGCGUUGUCCGGAAUUAUUGGGCGUAAAGCGCGCGCAGGUGGUUUCUUAAGUCUGAUGUGAAAGCCCACGGCUCAACCGUGGAGGGUCAUUGGAAACUGGGGAACUUGAGUGCAGAAGAGGAAAGUGGAAUUCCAAGUGUAGCGGUGAAAUGCGUAGAGAUUUGGAGGAACACCAGUGGCGAAGGCGACUACCUGGCCUGUUCUUGACGCUGAGGCGCGAAAGCUAGGGGAGCAAACGGG
rnacentral:rRNA from 1 species